rnacentral:rRNA from 1 species
CUCAGGAUGAACGCUAGCUACAGGCUUAACACAUGCAAGUCGAGGGGCAGCAUGAAGUUUGCUUGCAAACUUGAUGGCGACCGGCGCACGGGUGAGUAACGCGUAUCCAACCUUCCCUACGAGUAGGGUAUAGCCCGGCGAAAGUCGGAUUAAUCCCCUAUGUUCUCCAUGGAUGGCAUCUGAUAUGGAGCAAAGGAUUCCGCUGUAGGAUGGGGAUGCGUCUGAUUAGCUUGCCGGCGGGGUAACGGCCCACCGAGGCUACGAUCAGUAGGGUUCUGAGAGGAAGGUCCCCCACAUUGGUACUGAGACACGGACCAAACUCCUACGGGAGGCAGCAGUGAGGAAUAUUGGUCAAUGGGCGUGAGCCUGAACCAGCCAAGUAGCGUGCAGGAUGACGGCCCUAUGGGUUGUAAACUGCUUUUGUCAGGGAAUAAAGUUCGCUACGUGUAGUGUUUUGCAUGUACCUGACGAAUAAGGACCGGCUAAUUCCGUGCCAGCCGCAGC